CAGUGAGGAAGGGCUGAGGCCCCUCCAGGCUUGAGCCUCCUCUGCCCCCACCAGCCUCCGUCUUCCCUCUGCCUCUUUUUUAUUAUGUUCUCCUACAGUAUUCCCAGCAGCAGCCUGGGGCCCGCGGGUGGAGAGGAGAAGCCCAAGAAAUUCCUCGUUGGGAGCCCUGUACACCGACUGCAGAUUUUUAUUUUUUAUGUAUGAGAGAGAGAGAAAAAGAGAGAGAGACAGAGGCAGAGACACAGGCAGAGGGAGAAGCAGGCUCCGUGCAGGGAGCCCGACGCGGGACCCGAACCCAGGACUCCAGGAUCACGCCCUCGGCCAAAGGGAGGCACUAAACCGCUGAGCCACCCAGAGAUCCCCUAAAUCUGUAUUUUUAAAAACAGAACAAUACUGUGAGGAAUACAUAGAAAUAUUAAAAGAAAAUGGUAAUAUUUGGGUGGUGGAAUUACAGUGCUGUUAUUUUUGCAUUUUGGGGGACUUUUAAAGAUAAUGAAUAUAGUUUAUCUUCAUCGUAGUACACACUUGCAUGUUUGUUUUUAGACACUGCCUAGCAUAAGUUACUACUCUAUUCAGGGCUAUACGGAAGUGGGAGGCAAAUUUCUAUGAAAGAAGAUCCAAGGAAGCUUUCCAAAUAUUUAUCCAGGCCUUUCUUUAUAAUUUGAAAAUGUCCAGACAUCUCAGCUGCUUUUCUUUCGUUUUGCUCAGAAGACAUGCACUCCAUAGACAUGCACGAAGAUGUGGCACCAGACCAUACCAAGCAGAAUAUUAACACGGAUAAAAUCCAGCUAUCUUAUUCAUAUUUGUAUUCCUGUUGGUGAUGUAUUUUGCCCUAUUCAAUUUCACAUGUGUAGGUCUGCAUACCCACCACCGCAGGCAGGAUGCUGAAUACUUCAUUCACCACAAGGAUCCCUCUCUUGGGCUUUUAUAACCGCACCCAUAUCUCUCCCCAACCUCCCAGCCCCUAAAUCCUAGUAACCCAUUCAUCUGUCUUCCUUUUCUCAAAUGUUGUCAUUUCAAAACAUUAUAUAAAUAUAUGAUACCUAACUUUUGGGGAUUGAUUUUUUUUUUCUUCCUCGGAGGAACUCUGGAAAGUCAUCCAAGUUGUAUCAAUAAUUUGUUCUUUUAUUGCUGGGUAGUUUUCCAUGGUAUGGAUAUGCCAGUUUAACAAUUUACCCAUUGAAAGACUUCUGGGCUGUUUCCAGUUUGGGGAUAUUAUGAAUAAAGCUGAUACAAACAUUUAUGUAGUUUUUUUGCAUGUGUGAACCUAAGUUCUCAUUUCUCUGGGAUAAAUGCCCAAGAGUGCAGUUGUAUGGCAACUGCAUGUUUAGUUCUGUAAGAAAUAGCCAACCUGUUUUCUAGAGUGGCUGUACCAUUUUACAUUCCCAUUAGCAACUGUACCUUGAGUGAUCCAGUUUCUCCACAUACUUGCCAGUAUUUGAUGCCGUUACUAUUUUGUGUUAGUCAUUCUAGUAGGUCUGUGGUGAUAACUUAUUGUGAUUCUAAUAUGCAUGAUAGGUAAGGAUAUAGUACAUUUUUUUCAUGUGCUUAUUUGCUGUCUAUCUUUUGGUAUUUAUGUCUUUUGCCCCGUAUCUGUUGAGUUUUGAGAAUUCUUUGUAUAUUCUAGAUACCAGUCCUUUGUUGGAUAUGCGGCCUGUAAAUAUUGCCUUCCAAUCUGUAGCUUGUCUUUUAAUUUUCUUCAUGUGGGCUUUCACAGAACAGAGGUUUUUGGUUUUGAUGAAGUUCAGUUUAUCAAUCUUUUUUGGAUCAUGCUUUUAUAAGAACUCUUUGCCUACCCCUGGAUCCCAAAGAUUUUCCCUCUGAUUUUCUAAAAGUGUUAAGAGUUUUAUGUCAUGAUUGGACAUUAUCUUUGUAUGAUUGAGGUUUUCCCCCAACCUCCUCCUUAGCUUAUGGAUGUCCAGUUGCUCCAGCACCAUUGUUGAAAGGUAUCCUUCUUCCACUGAAUUGCUUUUGAACCUUUGAAAAAUCAGUUGAGCCAACUCAACAACAAAUGAAGCAACCUAAUUUGAAAAUAGGUUAAGGACUGGAAUGGAUUCCUCCUCUGUAAAAAGAUAUACAGAUGACCAGUAAGCAUAUGGGGAGGUGCCCAACAUCACUUAUAUUGCAUCCCAUUAAGGUAAUGCAAAUCAAAAUCACAAUAAGAUACCACUCCAUACUCAUUAAGAUGAUUAUCAAAAAAUGGAAAAUAACAAGUGUUGAUCAGGAUGUGGAAAAACUGUAACCUACGUAUUGCUGGUAGGAAUAUAAAAUGGUACAGGCACUAUAGAAAAGUGGCAGUUCCUCAAGAAGUUAAACGUAGGAUUACCAUAUGAUCCAGGAAUUUUACUUCUGGGUAUAGACUCCAAAUAUGAAAGUAAAAUAUGAACUUGUAAACCAAUGUUCAUAGCAGCACUAUUCACAUAGCUCAGAGGUGGAAACAACUCAAGUGUCUAUCAAGAGAAGAAUGGAUAAACAAAAUGUGCUUUAUCCACACAGUGGAAUUAUUAUUCGGCCAUAAAAAGGAAGGAGAUUCUGACCCAUGCUACAUGCAAUAUGGAUGUACCUUGAAAACAUUAUGCUAAAGUGAAAAUGGCCACACAUAAAAGGACAAAUAUUGUCUAAUUUCACUUACAUCAGGUACCUAGAAGAGGCGAAUUUGUAGAAAGUAGAAGAGAGGUGGUCAGGGGAAGAGGGAAAUGGAUUAGAGAGUAUUAAGUUUCUCUUUGGGAUGAUGACAAAGUUCUGGAGGCAGAUGGUGGUAACUGUUAAGUGUACUUAGUACCACUGAAUUGUUAAUGUAUGUUUUAUAAUAAAAUUUUAAAAAUCCGU
rnacentral:lncRNA from 1 species